CGUAAAUGAUGGUAAGCAGAGCUCUGCAGAAGGUGAGGUGAAGGAUACACAAUUGGUUAUUCCUGAGACCAUCAAAGGAAAGGGGUUAUCCCUUUGUCUCUCCUCUGAACAUUACCAAAGGGAGAAAACCAAUAAAUUGUCCCCAAAAAUGUUUCAGACUAAGUGUUACAGGGUUCUGUGUGGCCUUGUGUUACCUGCCUGAAUACAGAACAUAUCUUAGAGUGUGUGGCAAUGAGAGUUGGGCAAGUGAGUAGAAGUUAUGGUGACAUGUUUUAACUAAUUGUGGGCAUGAUUAACUAAUUAGGUGUUACAGGGAAGGACAAAAAGUGAAGAAAAUUGUGCCAAAAAUAUCCCACCCAUCCUGGAGAGGAAUUUGCCUCCACAUUUUAAGUUUGCCAAAAGGUUUAUGUGAGGUGGUGUUGCUGUGAUUUCCAUCAAGUUUAUUGGUGCUUAAAAUGCAACUGCUCCAACGGCAAGAUGCUGCUUGGUGAAUUUUAUGCUGAAGGUUUUCAUUAAAUUCCUAUAAACAGGGAUAUCUGCAAUUGCUGUAACUGUUUUUUAUGCUCACAGCUUAAACACCAGCAAGAUUAAAAGUGCUGUAGAGCUGAAGAGCAGGAAAAAUGCACAUUGGCUCAUUCAGAUCUCUGGACAGAGGGUGGUCCAAGCUCCAGGAAAGCACAUGGAAAAUUCAGCUUCAGCCCCCUGGUGAUGUAAAGUGCAUUUCAGAUCAGCUUGUCUUAGAUCAGCUGCCUGAGAGGAAUGGCACAGAAAGAAUGCCUGGGUGGAAUGAGACUAAAACAUCAGAUUUGGAAAUAAAGAAGUGAAAUAUGGGAAGUCCUCCAGAUGAUGCUGAUUUCUAGAGUCUUCAGGGUGAAGUCAGGUUCUGAAGUCUUGUCAUCUGCUGUCAGAAAAUCUCCUUUCCAUGUGGUUACAUCCAAAAAUAUUAGAAAACAGAUUGUUUCUUCUUCCAGUUUUCCUCUAGCUGAAGUGCAUUAGGCAACACAGUUCUGAAUUUGAUGUCUGGCUCCUUUAAAAAUAUUGGAAGCACUUUUAAUUUUCCUUUGUUCCUUUUACAAGCACUAAUCACAGGAAAACCUUGAUUAGAGUAUGUAAAUCUUUUACCCUUGCUAUAAAAUCAGAUGCCUCACAAGUACUGACCUCCUUCACCACUUUGUACUUUAAGGUGGAGAAGAACCAGGCAAAAAAAUCAUAUUUAUGUUGUUUCCAGUGUAGCUUAGGGACAUUUCAGCUAGCUGAAUAUGGGGUACUUUGAGCCACAUAUAAUCUACAUGUCUCCUGAUACACAGUUCCCCAGGUGCCAAGCUUUAAGCUGCCCACCUAUGUGGGACAGGAUAGCAGGGAUAACCUUCUCUUAAACCUUUUUUUUGACAGUAAAAUGUUAAAGCUUAAGGUAUUAUAAUUUCCACUCUGUUACUGAAUCUUCAACUACAACUAGUCUGAAAUGAAGACAGCAGAAACAUGAAACACGAGUUAAAAAAAUAAUCAAUGUGUCUCAGGAUAGAGCUAAAUAGUGAAUGCAUAAAUGUGAAUAUUAACAAGCAUUUGCAAGGAAACUCCAGUUGUUUCACAAGGCAUAUUCUGUAAAAUUAAAUUCUUUUUAGUUAAAAGAAACAUAUAAAAUAGAAAUCAAACACUCAAGAUAUAUAAUAAUCAAAUCAAUAAAUAAUUUAGAAUUAUGCA
rnacentral:lncRNA from 1 species